UUCAAACCCGCCCUUUUGUUUCAAUUUUUAUCUUCUUCUCAAAAACUGCCCUGCCUCCUUACGGUUUUCAGAGAGGCUUCACUCACUCACACAGUCACACUUCUCUCCUACCUGUGGCCACCAUCGAUCUUCCAGGUCGCACUCCAGCCAACCUCCGCCCUUGCAACUCAGGCGACCUCUACCCUCUCUCGUUCUUCGUGCUCACAGAUUAGAGAGCCCUAACUCGCUCACCUGCUCUGCCCUGUGGCCACCGCCGCGCCGCUGAUCUUCCGGGUCGCACUCCAGCCAACCUCCGACCUCGCAACUCAGGCGACCACCACCCUCGUGGUUCGCGUUCACAGGUAAUAGCUCUCACCCGCUCACACUGCUCUGCCUCCUGCAUGUGGCCGCCUCCUCCGAUCUCUCGGACCUCGCACCGCCACCAGCCUCCAACCCUUGCCACUUUGCGUCUUUGUGCGACCUCUGUGGCUCUGUCAAGUCCCAAUUUUUUUCUCCGACAACCAUUAUUCCAUUCUUCGGAGAUCAAUUCUUUUGGGGGGAUAGAAUCUAUCAAAAAGGGCUAGGUCCAGCACCAAUUCCAAUUUCUCAGCUCACUCUUGAGAAUUUAUCAAAUGCCAUAAAGUUCAUGCUCCAGCCAGAGGUGAAGUCUCAAGCAAUGGAAGUUGCAAAGUUGAUUAAGGAUGAAGAUGGUGUUACUGCAGCGGUUGAUGCGUUUCACCGGCAUCUACCUUCUGAGCUACCGCUUCCAACACCAUCUCCGGUGGAGGAUCACCCAAAUGCUUUGCAGUGGUUUUUUUCUUCAAAUAUCCAAGUGGUGUUGUGUGCCUUGUGGUGGUGUAUAGUGUUUUUUUCCCCACUCAGUAAAGUGCUCAUUGUUUUGUAUGAGACAUUCCGAAUGCAUUCGUCAAAGUUUAGCUCUAGUGGCUCUCGUGACCUCCUUAUCUGUGAUGAGGCUCACAGACUAAAGAAUGAUCAGACGAUAACAAACAGGGCAUUGGCAGCUCUUCCAUGUAAACGUAGAAUUCUAUUUUCAGGAACUCCUUUGCAGAAUGACUUGGAGGAAUUCUGUGGAAGUUGAGGCUGAGAAACUACUAAGAUGCAUGGAAUGAAUAUUAUCAACAGUGUCAGACUUUUAUGAUACUUUAAGUACUUAAAUCUCUGUCUCUCGCCAAGGUUGCAGCAGCAGAGGCUGAGCGAGAGAGAAACCAGUGAUGGAUUGUUUGUCACUUCCAUCGUUCAUUUGGAUUCCAUCAACAUCUAAGUAUGAAAAACACAGCAACCAUCAAAAGAAGUUCCGAAUUGCGGUGUCUA